rnacentral:rRNA from 1 species
UACGAAGGGGGCUAGCGUUGCUCGGAAUCACUGGGCGUAAAGGGUGCGUAGGCGGGUCUUUAAGUCAGGGGUGAAAUCCUGGAGCUCAACUCCAGAACUGCCUUUGAUACUGAGGAUCUUGAGUAUGGGAGAGGUGAGUGGAACUGCGAGUGUAGAGGUGAAAUUCGUAGAUAUUCGCAAGAACACCAGUGGCGAAGGCGGCUCACUGGCCCAUAACUGACGCUGAGGCACGGAAAGCGUGGGAGCAAACAGG